GUCAGUGUGGCCGAGUGGUUAAGGCGAUUGACUCGAAUUCUCAUAUAUUCGUCAUCAAUUCCAUUCGUGGGCACAGGUUCGAAUCCUGUCGCUGACG
rfam:Aspergillus oryzae strain BCC7051 OAory_C06, whole genome shotgun sequence.